GACGUAGGGCGCGAGCGUUGUCCGGAUUUAUUGGGCGUAAAGAGCUCGUAGGCGGCUCGUUGCGUCGGCUGUGAAAACCCGCAGCUCAACUGUGGGCUUGCAGCCGAUACGGGCGGGCUAGGAUUCGGUAGGGGAGACUGGAAUUCCUGGUGUAGCGGUGAAAUGCGCAGAUAUCAGGAGGAACACCGGUGGCGAAGGCGGGACUCUGGGCCGAUAUCGACGCUGAGGAGCGAAAGCGUGGGGAGCGAACAGG
rnacentral:rRNA from 1 species